CUUCCUUGCGUCCGUGUGUUGUCAUGUCGUCGUGCCGGCGCGGUUUGAAUGGUGUUGUUAUACGCGUUUCAUAUUUCCAGACUGCAACGUGCUUAUGUGGAAUGGCACCGGGAUCAAGGAAAAUGAUGUAGCCUGCGUUGAUUUCCAGACUGGCAGUGUGCUUGUGAAGAAUGGCUUCGGUAUGUAGCUGCAUCUUUUUUACUCGUUGCUCGCUACACGGUCACCAUCCAUAUUCUUUAUCGCGGGGAUCAAUGGGAAGGAUCCGGUCUUCGUUGGGUACAAAUACCACUGUUUAGGUAGGUCUUAGGCAACAACUGUUUCGAUACGCCGAUAAAACUUUGCAGGUUAUGGUAUCUGGCAUCAGGAGGAGCUUGGGAAACGGAAUGCAGAUAACAGAUACUGAUUAACUGUCACUCCGUCGUUCGUUCUGCUAGGUUGAAGAUACGGGUAAUUGGUUAGCUCGUUACUCGAGCUUUGUGUCAUAUACGCACAUAGAUGUGCUAUUGCUUGCUUUGAGAGAAAUAAACGUUCCGAAAUGA